UACGAAGGGGGCGAGCGUUGUUCGGAUUUACUGGGCGUAAAGGGCGCGUAGGCGGCGUGACAAGUCACUUGUGAAAUCUCCGGGCUUAACUCGGAACGGUCAAGUGAAACUGUCGUGCUAGAGUACAGAAGGGGCAACUGGAAUUCUCGGUGUAGCGGUGAAAUGCGUAGAUAUCGAGAGGAACACCUGCGGCGAAGGCGGGUUGCUGGGCUGAUACUGACGCUGAUGCGCGAAAGCCAGGGGAGCGAACGGG
rnacentral:rRNA from 1 species